AUUGAACGCUGGCGGCAGGCCUAACACAUGCAAGUCGAGCGGUAGAGAGAAGCUUGCUUCUCUUGAGAGCGGCGGACGGGUGAGUAAUGCCUAGGAAUCUGCCUGGUAGUGGGGGAUAACGUUCGGAAACGGACGCUAAUACCGCAUACGUCCUACGGGAGAAAGCAGGGGACCUUCGGGCCUUGCGCUAUCAGAUGAGCCUAGGUCGGAUUAGCUAGUUGGUGAGGUAAUGGCUCACCAAGGCGACGAUCCGUAACUGGUCUGAGAGGAUGAUCAGUCACACUGGAACUGAGACACGGUCCAGACUCCUACGGGAGGCAG
rnacentral:rRNA from 1 species